ACGCGCAGAACNUUACCAACCCUUGACAUCCUGUGCUACUACCAGAGAUGGUACGUUCCNUUCGGGGACGCAGUGACAGGUGCUGCAUGGCUGUCGUCAGCUCGUGUCGUGAGAUGUUCGGUUAAGUCCGGCAACGAGCGCAACCCACAUCUUUAGUUGCCAGCAGGUUAAGCUGGGCACUCUAGAGAAACUGCCCGUGAUAAGCGGGAGGAAGGUGUGGAUGACGUCAAGUCCUCAUGGCCCUUACGGGUUGGGCUACACACGUGCUACAAUGGCAGUGACAAUGGGUUAAUCCCCAAAAGCUGUCUCAGUUCGGAUUGGGGUCUGCAACUCGACCCCAUGAAGUCGGAAUCGCUAGUAAUCGCGUAACAGCAUGACGCGGUGAAUACGUUCCCGGGCCUUGUACACACCGCCCGUCACACCAUGGGAGUUGGUUCUACCCGACGACGCUGCGCUAACCCUNNGGGGG
rnacentral:rRNA from 1 species